UCAUCACCCGAUCUCACCCUCGGCUCUCCUCACGAUUCACGGGACAGCAACCUCCCGUUCCCCAUUCUCUCCCACGACAAACCCUAGCCGCCGGCCGCCGCUGUGGCCCGAUGCCACUCUCCCCGUGAGACCGUGAUGACGGCCGCACCAAGGUGCCGCACGCCCUGAUCGAUGAAUCCCGACGCCCCGAGCCGCCCUCAGGACCGGUGACGACCACGACCAGCAUCCAAGCCAUCAACCGCCGUGCCCCGUGCAUCACGCUAUGCGUCGCUCCAUUGCUUGUGACGCGGCCAUCCAUCCCCGACCACCAUCUAAGCUGGAGUUCUUCACCAUCUUGUCCUCUUCCAUGCUGGUCGCCGGCUGGCCGCCUACUGUCCUUUUCAGUGCUCCACCUCGCAUCUAAAGAUUUUGUUCAGAUGUUCAUGUUCUUGGUGUACAAUUUUUGUGAUGGUUAAAACUCAGCAAGAAGGCAUGCUCCUCCGUCUUAGGAUUUCAUCAUUCCACAAAGCCACGUCCGCGUCAUUGCAUAGCGGAGGUCUGAGAUUCGUAUGCCCUUGAUUGCUGAGAUGUGGCCGGCGAUUGAGAACCUAGAAGAGUCCAUCAGCAUAUGUCGCCGAACGAUGGCUGGGCAGUUGUAGUCAUUGGCAGUGAGGAGCAUCGGUAAUGGCUGGCUGCUGCUGCACUCGACAUUGAUGUUCAGGUGGAUAUGCAAGUAUAAUGUACGCACAUGAUCAAUCUAUGUCCACAUCGUCAACAUUAUAAGCAUUAGUGGACCGUAUAUGCAUUUGCAUGAUUGAGCCAUCUCAGCUAAGCAAUGAAGCAAAAGUUCAUGUGCUCAUUGCUAAGCCGCUUGCAGACUUGAGUAUGAAAAGCAACUGAUCGUCAACUACCUGCAGAAUGUACUGCACCCGCGAGGAAUAUACUGGCCGUCUCGAUGUUUGGUAGCAGUCCAGGGCGGCUGCUGUUUCAGUUGGUAGUAGGGGUGCUGUCAGCAGUAUAUAUAGUGCUGAUUUUCUAUUUUAAGAUCUUCAUGUGAAUCUUGUUGCUGGUGAAGUGGUGAUUAUAUAUACUUCUGAUUUUCUUUUUAAGAUUUUCAUGUGUUGUACUGUUUUC